AGUGAACGCUGGCGGUAGGCCUAACACAUGCAAGUCGAACGGCAGCACAGAGGAGCUUGCUCCUUGGGUGGCGAGUGGCGGACGGGUGAGGAAUACAUCGGAAUCUACUCUGUCGUGGGGGAUAACGUAGGGAAACUUACGCUAAUACCGCAUACGACCUACGGGUGAAAGCAGGGGAUCUUCGGACCUUGCGCGAUUGAAUGAGCCGAUGUCGGAUUAGCUAGUUGGCGGGGUAAAGGCCCACCAAGGCGACGAUCCGUAGCUGGUCUGAGAGGAUGAUCAGCCACACUGGAACUGAGACACGGUCCAGACUCCGCAGGGAGGCAGCAGUGGGGAAUAUUGGACAAUGGGCGCAAGCCUGAUCCAGCCAUACCGCGUGGGUGAAGAAGGCCUUCGGGUUGUAAAGCCCUUUUGUUGGGAAAGAAAUCCAUCUGGUUAAUACCCGGGUGGGAUGACGGUACCCAAAGAAUAAGCACCGGCUAACUUCGUGCCAGCCGCCGCCGUAA
rnacentral:rRNA from 1 species